rnacentral:rRNA from 1 species
AUUGAACGCUGGCGGCAGGCUUAACACAUGCAAGUCGAGCGGAGAUGAGGUGCUUGCACCUUAUCUUAGCGGCGGACGGGUGAGUAAUGCUUAGGAAUCUGCCUAUUAGUGGGGGACAACAUUCCGAAAGGAAUGCUAAUACCGCAUACGUCCUACGGGAGAAAGCAGGGGAUCUUCGGACCUUGCGCUAAUAGAUGAGCCUAAGUCGGAUUAGCUAGUUGGUGGGGUAAAGGCCUACCAAGGCGACGAUCUGUAGCGGGUCUGAGAGGAUGAUCCGCCACACUGGGACUGAGACACGGCCCAGACUCCUACGGGAGGCAGCAGUGGGGAAUAUUGGACAAUGGGGGAAACCCUGAUCCAGCCAUGCCGCGUGUGUGAAGAAGGCCUUAUGGUUGUAAAGCACUUUAAGCGAGGAGGAGGCUACUGAGACUAAUACUCUUGGAUAGUGGACGUUACUCGCAGAAUAAGCACCGGCUAACUCUGUGCCAGCAGCCGCCGUAAAAC